rnacentral:rRNA from 1 species
UGGGGAAUAUUGCACAAUGGGCGAAAGCCUGAUGCAGCGACGCCGCGUGAGGGAUGACGGCCUUCGGGUUGUAAACCUCUUUCAGCAGGGAAGAAGCGAAAGUGACGGUACCUGCAGAAGAAGCACCGGCUAACUACGUGCCAGCAGCCGCGGUAAUACGUAGGGUGCGAGCGUUGUCCGGAAUUAUUGGGCGUAAAGAGCUUGUAGGCGGUUUGUCGCGUCUGCCGUGAAAAUCCGGGGCUCAACCCCGGACUUGCGGUGGGUACGGGCAGACUAGAGUGUGGUAGGGGAGACUGGAAUUCCUGGUGUAGCGGUGAAAUGCGCAGAUAUCAGGAGGAACACCGAUGGCGAAGGCAGGUCUCUGGGCCACUACUGACGCUGAGAAGCGAAAGCAUGGGGAGCGAACA